rnacentral:rRNA from 1 species
UACGUAGGGUGCGAGCGUUGUCCGGAAUUACUGGGCGUAAAGAGCUUGUAGGUGGUUUGUCGCGUUGUUCGUGAAAACUCACAGCUUAACUGUGGGCGUGCGGGCGAUACGGGCAGACUGGAGUACUGCAGGGGAGACUGGAAUUCCUGGUGUAGCGGUGGAAUGCGCAGAUAUCAGGAGGAACACCGGUGGCGAAGGCGGGUCUCUGGGCAGUAACUGACGCUGAGGAGCGAAAGCGUGGGGAGCGAACAGG